AAGGCGUUCCGAGCGCUCGGGGCGGGGGCGCUGGCAGCUGCCCGCAGAGCGCGGAGAGGGCGGCGGGGACUUCCCAGAGGAGACUCCGAGGCCUGGCGAAGGUCACCCGGCUCCGUCCCCGGUUGGACCCUUACAAGAGAGAGAUUGCGCGCUCGAAUUCUGGCCUAGGCGGAGGUGGGAGGAGAGGGUCCUGAAGAAAUUCUCUGUCCUACCUUUUGAUAACAGCUCUUAUGACCCUCAUUCCAGAAGAGGUCCUGUCCCAUACCUGUUUGGAAGGAAUGCUACACAAAUAGGCUAGAAGAAGAAUCAACAUAAAAUAAUGACUCUGCUUUAAGAGAAAUCAGAAAAUUGUUUAUUCUGGACCAAAUAGCGGUGACCAUGGUCCCAGUACCUGGAUUCAAAUUACCUCGAGUGACACCUUCCACUGUGAAAGAGAUUGCUUGAACUUUUAUAGCCGCAGAACCAAGAAAGUCAUAAAUCAAUAUAUUCAGGUGGAUGGAAGCUACAGGUCCUGAGCUUAGCAACAUAUUUCAAGAGUUUUGCCAGAUACAGAUGCUGCAAAUAAAUGGCUAUUAAAAGGACUAAGAUAGCCCAAGAAAAUUUCUCGGCCACAGUUAAGCAGUCUGCAGGAUGUUUAGUAUGGAUAUGACUUCUUCAGAGAACUUCAGUUUACAUUCUCCUUUUGUCCAUCUAAUGUAAGGAUCUGUCCAGAGGUAAGACAGAAGCAUAUCCACUUAGGAAAUGACCACUCUUAAAUGUGUGUAAUGUUUUCUUACGUCGUCAAAAUUCCUCAAGGAUAGCGGUAUCUCUCUCAGAUUCAACUGUCUUAAACAAUUAGGAAAAUGUAUUAUUCCAUGUAACAAGAAAACUGGGGACUGAUCAGCUCUACAGUUAGUUCAUUUAAGACCUCCAUAACAUAAUCAAGAACCUAGAUUUUUCACCAGGUAUAUAGUCAACUUGAUAAGCAAGACCAGAUCUGUCAAAGGGAAACUGCAAUAACAUUGAUUUCCAUUAUAUUAGAGAAUGUGGCUUAGAUGUGAGGGUCCAAUUAUUAGCGCUGAAUCUCAAAGUUAGAUGGACUUACCAUCUGCUCAGGGAAAGUACUGAAUUUCUGUGUGGCUCUUCCAUGCAAGAAGGACCUUCACAAAACACACAAGAUCAGACAGCCUGUUGACUGUAAUAGACCCACUCCCAACAGAGGAGAGAGAAGGGAUCCUGCUGCGCCUAUGACCAGUGCCUCUCUCCAAAUACACCAAUCAGGUAAGUUAUUUUGCUUCCCACUAUCAUGCUAAUAGUAUGGUUUUAAAACACAGAAGAGCGUUUAUACAGGAGAGGAAGCGCUGCCCUCUACAACCAGUCCUUCUCAUGAACAUUGUCUUCCAUCUUUUUCUAGGCUUUCAGGGAGGCCUGCAGUUUUAGCAGUGAAACAGUACAUUUUGCCCCUUUUUAAACCACCUCUAGGACAAAACAAAUGGAGCACUUCUACUACCAGGCAAAAAGCUGCCUGUUGGAGGUCCAGUAGACAGGAAAUCUUUGUCUUGCUGCCUUCUGACUCUGUCCCCUUCUUCCUUUAGGAGGAACAUGGCUGGUGAACAGUGUGGUGAUGGUAACUCUUACUUAAUAAUUAGUUGAUUGCUACUGGAUUCAUAUCCUAGGAAUUUUGUGCUAAGGAAAACCAAAGAGUAGGGUAAGAUCUUAGGACACUAUCCAAGAAUAUGGAAUCCAACAUGCCAACUGAGAAAAUGAAGGGACUUGCUUAUUUUUGGUCCAGUCUUCUUUUGGAUGCUACAGCAGAAAGUAAGACUCGUUUUUAAAAUUAGCUGUAUAGAUUUUAGAUUUGCAAAAAAAAUAAAAAUUAUGUUUUUCAGACAGUGAAGAAAGCUUUCAUAAAAACCUCAUAUCCUGUUUCCCUCAUUAACACUUUAUUUGGGUAGAGUUUAUCUGUUAUAACUAAUGAACUAACAUUAAUAUUAGUUCACUAUUAUCACUGUUAUACAUUAUUAUUAGCCAAAGUCUCUACCUUAUUCAGAUUUUUUAGUUUUUACUAGAUGUUCUUGUUCCAGGAUGUUAUCCAUGAUAUCACACUACAUGUACUCCUCCGAUUUCCUUGUGAUCCACUUGGCCAUGACAUUUUCUCACACUUACCUUGCUUUGGUGACCUUGAUAGUUUUGUUGUUGUUAUUUUGUGAUAGGGUCUCACUACAUUACACAGUCUGGCAUCAAACUAACAAUCCUUUUGCCUCUCAGCCUUCCUAGUAGCUGGGAUUAUAGGCAGGUAUCACCAUGUCCAGCUCUGCUAGGU